GAUGAAGAACGUAGCGAAAUGCGAUAAGUAGUGUGAAUUGCAGAAUUCAGUGAAUCAUCGAAUCUUUGAACGCACAUUGCGCCCCUUGGUAUCCCGAGGGGCAUGCCUGUUCGAGCGUCAUUUCACCACUCAAGCCUGGCUUGGUGUUGGGCGACGUCCCCUUUGGGGACGCGCCUCGAAACGCUCGGCGGCGUGGCACCGGCUUUAAGCGUAGCAGAAUCUUUCGCUUUGGAAGUCGGGGCCCCGUCUGCCGGAAGACCUACUCGCAAGGUUGACCUCGGAUCAGGCAGGGAUGCCCGCUGAACUUAAGCAUAUCAAUAAGCGGAGGA
rnacentral:misc_RNA from 1 species